rnacentral:rRNA from 1 species
CUUGAACGCUGGCGGCAGUCCUAACACAUGCAAGUCGAGCGAGCGGCGGACGGGUGAGUAAUGUCUGGGAACCUGCCUGAUGGAGGGGGAUAACUACUGGACACGGUAGCUAAUACCGCAUCCCAUCAGAUGUGCCCAGAUGGGAUUAGCUCGUAGGUGGGGUAACGGCUCACCUAGGCGACGAUCCCUAGCGGGUCUGAGAGGAUGACCAGCCACACUGGAACGGAGACACGGUCCAGACUCCUACGGGAGGCAGCAGUGGGGAAUAUUGCACAAUGGGCGCAAGCCUGAUGCAGCCAUGCCGCGUGUGUGAAGAAGGCCUUCGGGUUGUAAAGCACUUUCAGCGGGGAGGCGUUACCCGCAGAAGAAGCACCGGCUAACUCCGUGCCAGCAGCCGCGGUAAUAC